UCCCUCCGUCCUCCGUCCGGAAAUACUUGUCAUCAAAAUGAAUAAAAGGGGAUGUAUCUAGAUGUAUAUUAGUUCUAGAUACAUCUUUUUUAUCCAUUUUGGUGACAAGUAUUUUCGGACGGAGGGAGUACUUG
rnacentral:pre_miRNA from 1 species